AUCACCGCUCAUCCCCAAUUCCCCAUACAUCCUGUCUUUUCAUCUCUUCCUUUCGAUUUCUCCACCUCCCAAAACCAUCUCCAACUCUCAGUUUUAUGUAAACAUGAACCCUAAAAGCACCUAAUUUCUACAUGGCUAUUCUUGCAAAAUCCCUCGAUUCCAAAAUAUUGAGCCACGAUCCAAACAAAACCACCUUCAGAUCUGAAUAAAACCACCCACGAAAAGGUUUGCAACGGUGAACAAAAUCCCCUCUACUCCAUGGUUUCAGCCGUCACUGGUGAUACUCCAGGUUCUUCCCUUCUCUGGUUCCAGAGAUGACGAUGGUGGUGUCACGGAAGAGGUUCCAGUAAUCCAUUGUCUUCAAACUCUCUAAUGCUAAGGUUCAAUUUUUCGAAAUACAGUGCUUGAGCUAUCGCGUUUAUUCUUAGUGUACAAAUUGAAACCCUAGAUAUGUUGUUCGGGUUCAAUUUCUUUUGAGGAAUUCGGAUUUUGUGUUUUUGUUUACACAAAAAGGUUUUUGAUUUUGUGAAUUGAAGAACUUCAAUUAUAGGGUUUCGUUUAUUUUAAGUAUAGGGUUUGACAUUUGUGAUGAAUCAGCAAAUCAGUUGCAAAUUGGAACUUACAGGAAUCAGGGUGUUAAAACCAAUUGUAGCACUUUAUAUAUAUUUUAGCAGAACUUGAACCUGUUCUUCUCUUAUAUUCAUCUGUAGCACAUUUUGUAUAUUUAUUUUUGUAUCAUUGAAGUAAAAACAUCUUCAUUUGUUUGUUGCUUACAAAAUACCCAACGUAGCAGUGAGGAUCUUAAUAACCAGCGGAACAUAUUCUGGGACAUUUUGGGAUUCUUGAGGACAAAUAUAGUCCAGGAACCUCUGUGAAGAUCGGUGGAGAGUCACUUACCACCACAAGAUGGUGCUAGCUGGUACAGGGGCUUUUAUAUCAACUGCUUAUUUUAGUUACAGUCGGGCAAAAACUGUGAACGAGAAUUUGAAAAUUAAUGUUGCUUUGUUAUCACGAUUUGAUUUGGUAUUCAUAUUGCCUGACAAGCCUGAUGAGUAGCUUGACAAACAAGUUUCCGAACACAUUAUGUCGCUGCAUACGGGAAGUGGGAAUAGUUCACAAACUGUGAAAAAACUUACAGAACUUCAGGAUGUGAGGACCGAGUAUGGGAUGCUAAAAGAAUGUAGUGCAGCUGUUGAACGUGCCAAGUUGCUGGCUUCUGAGGUUGUUGGAUUAGAGAUGAAGGUCGAGUUAGGUUAACAAUGGAGAAGUACAUAUUUUGGUUAGAGCUACAGUUUCAGCUGGGAACAUACAGCUAGGUUGGGUUGCUGGUUCGGCGGUUCUCAUGACAUUUUCGUUCAUCACUUAUUUCACCUCCACCCUUCUCGCUGAUGCUUACCGUGCACCGGACCCCGUUCAUGGGAAGCGUAACUACACCUACAUGGAUGUGGUUCGAGCCACUCUAGGAGGGAAAAAAACGCAGUUAUGUGGGAUAGCUCAGCAUGUGAACCUUGUUGGAGUUACUAUUGGUUACACAAUCACUACUUCUAUAAGCAUUGUGGCAGUGAAAAAGAUCAAAUUGUUUUCACUAUAGCGGGCACGACGCACAUUGUCAACCAUCCAAUUAUCCAUACAUGGCUGUGUUUGCAGUUAUACAGAUCGUGUUAAGCCAAAUCCCAAAUUUUCAUAAACUAUCAUGAUUAUCGUACUAGCCGCAGUGAUGUCUUUUGCUUACUCUCUCAUUGGACUCGGUCUCUCUUUUGCGAAAGUAGCAGGAGGGGUGCACACGAAGACAACUCUAUGUAUGAGACUAUUUGUGAGCGGGCUAAGGAAAAUUACAUUGCUGGACAAUGUGGCAUCUGUCGAGUAAUAGCCAUUAUGGUCUGCUCUUUCUUCUUGCUCAAAUUGGCACAUCAAGGGGUAGAGGAAAGCCAUUGACAUUCUGGAAAGGUCAUUUGAGCUACCAGUUAUUCAACGUCACAAACCUCCUGAAUUACUUCUUUAUUAGUUACUUGAUAAAUAUGAGUUUAGUGUAUAACAAAUUCUAUUAUAAGUAAUCCAAAUAGCCUUUUUUCAGAUAUUAAAA